CUCACUCCCCAGGCCCACACACUAGCCCACUGUUCAGGGUCCGGGGUGGCAGCAUGGCCUGGGGGUCCUGGCACCGCUGCUCCUCUGCCCACCCUAACUUCCCGGCAUGGCGGCUGCCCCCUCUGAGCGUCCCCAACCAGUAAGUGUGGGGCCAGCAGGCCUGCCGUCCUCCUCCUCUUCCCUCUAGAGAGAAACGUGGAGGUCCUGGGGCUGGGGGCGCUCAUAGCCCUGUGACACAGGUGCAUGGGGUCAGGGGUCCCAGAAUGGCCCCUGGGAAGGACCUCAGCUGGGCCGGCGGCUCUAGGCUUCAGGGGUCUGUCUGCACAGGGGCUAGCCCCUCCCAGACCUCUGUGAAGCCAGUACGGGCCUCCCCUCCCUGCCCCGUGCUCUGUCCGGUGCUUCCUGGACUGCACUGCGGGCCACUGGUGAGAGGGUGGACAGGGAAGGGCCGCCGUGGUGCCUGUUCCUGCCCACCUGGCUGUGUGGUCCCCUCCAAGUAGGGACAACCCUUCUGAGGGCUUGGGGGCACCCUGGGGUUGCCAGGGCCUCCCAGAGCCCUGUGAGCCCCUGGGGGGUCUGGCCUGAUGCCCCCCUCCACGUCCAGGGCCGGCUGUGGCCCAGAACCCCAGCUUCCCAGCAGGCCGGUGUGCGGUGGUGACCCAGGAGAGGCCUCACCUCCACUGAGGGGCCACCGACCUCUGCCAGGCCACAGAGACCCCCAAGGAGUCUGAAGGCUGGAGACCCGGGGCUGGGACCAGGUGGGACUUUCCCACGGAGCCGCCCCCAGGCCCAGCUGGGGACACGUCCCCCUUCUCUCCAGACACACCCUGCCUGCCACCACGACACACCGGCCUGUUGGGGGUCUCUUUUAAGUGCUUGCCACUCUGAGGUGACUGUCCCUUUCCAAAGAGGUUUCUGGGGCCCAGGUGGGAUGCGUCGGCCUGAGCAGGAGGAUCUGGGCCGCCAGGGGCUGGGGACUGUCUCCUGGGGAAGGAAGCGCCUGGGAGCGUGUGUGCUGACCCAGGACCAUCCAGGGAGGCCCGUCUGUGGGGCAAGCGGGAAGGGAGCGGCUGGAGAGGCUUGGCCGCCCCCGCCCUGCCUCCCAUUCCUUAGCUCCAUGCCUGUCAACCUCUGUCACCCAGUGAGUGAUGUCCAGGGGCCCUGGAAAGGUCACAGCAUGUUUGAGCGGGGUGAGAGAGAGGGGAAAGGCGGGGGCGGGGAAAAGUACGUGGAGGAAGCUCUAGGCCCAAGGAAGGAGAAAGGGUUCUGGGAGGGAGGGAGCCACUGGGGCCGCCGGGAAGGUCCCUGCCUGCUGCUGCCACCCAGAACCCUCGCCUCUUAGCUAGCCCCCGCAGCCCCAGCCUUUCUGGCCUGUGCCCCUCUCCCCCAUCCCCAGCUGUCCUGUGCAACCAGGCCUUGGACCCAAACCCUCCUGCCCCCUCCUCUCCCUCCUCACCCUCCCAAUGCAGUGGUCUCCAGCCUGGCUCUGCCCUGCCGCAGGUCCCCUCCCCUCAUUCCAGGCCUAGAGCCUCCAGUCCCGGUGGCCCCCAGCCCGAGGGUGAACGGCCUCACCCUGGGUCGUGGGACAGAGGGCACGUUCAUCAAGAGUGGCUCCCAAGGGACACGUGGCUGUUUGCAGUUCACAGGAAGCAUUCGAGAUAAGGAGCUUGUUUUCCCAGUGGGCACGGAGCCAGCAGGGGGGCUGUGGGGCAGCCCAGGGUCAAGGCC
rnacentral:lncRNA from 1 species